GUGGUGCUGUGGCUCAAGUGGUAGAGCGCUAGCCUUGAGCUGAAGAACUGAAGGAGAGUGCCCAGGCUCGGAGGUCAGGCCCCAAGACAUACUCACAUACAUACACACAUACAUAUAUACAUAAAUAAAUAAGUAGCCAAAAGGCAAUGCAUGAGGUUCUUUAAAUGAAGAAUAAAGUGUUAAAGCAGAGGUUAGUAAAAGGCUUUUUAAAUCAGGAAUGGAUUCCUGGAUAUGAAAUUUGGAAGUAAAAUUGUUCUAAGUGUUUGUUUCAAAGUACAAAAAGGAAAAAUUAUGGCUACCAAAACGAUUCCAGCUUGCCAUUAUACAUUUUUUCAGCAGACCCACAGCAAAAGACAGGAUAUUUACAAGUUCGUCAGGUGUACCUUUAACCCUUAAUAAAUUCCAGGUAAGAGCAUGGUUAAAAAGCUACUUCCAUGUUGACCACCUUGUUGCUUUUGAUUGGGGUAAAGUGGCCUUUUGUAAGACUCAUUGAUCUGAAAACUGUGGUUCAAGCCAACCCGGGCAGAGAAAGGACUAUGAGACUGUCAUCUCUAAUCUGCCAGCAGAGUGCUGGAAAGUGGAGUUGCUUUGGAGCUCAAAGUGGUAGAAUGCUACCAUGAGCUGGAGAGCUGAAGGACAGUACUCAGCCCUGAGUUCAAGUCCAGUGACAGACCAAGGGCAAUGCCAAGGUGCAUUUAACCCAGCAUGCAGAAAAACACUCCUGGGACCUUGGCCAUGAUGGAGCAACCAGAAGCAGUUACAUGCCACUGCUUAGAUGGCAGAGACUAUGUCAUAUCCUGGAGUCACUUACACUUGGCCCUUCAAAAAUUGAUCAGAGUCAGAGGUCAUGGGAAGAUAGUUUACAAGCAUGCAUAACUGGCCUGGAACUUGUCAAUCAUCUGUGAUAGUGGGCAGUAAAAGGCUAAGGUUGUAAAAUGUGGGGGAUAGUUAAAAUCCCAAACCCCCUGUAUCUGCUCAAAAUCCUAAUUGGCAGUGAGCUUUGAGUUGGCACCAGUCACAUAAAUUUCCUCUGUUAAGGAAAGACAGUUUACAGACCUGAGAUUAUAUGUCCCUAUUAAGAACUGCUUAAAGGCCUACCCAGGUAACUUAGGCAUUAUUAGGGUCACUAAAGAUUAGCUUUCCAUGCCUGUAACCCUAUAAAACACUUAAGCUCCAAUUAUUAAAAAACAAAAAAGGGGGAGCCCCAAGGGAAACUCUUGCCUUAACCUUAUUUACUUUAAUUUUAAAAAUUUACCUCAAGGUGAUCCUUAUCCUAGAGCUGAAAAGCAGUUUACCUCUCCAGCUCCAUCUCAAGACCAUACUCCCAUAUGGUUUAAAGAAUUUGAUCAGUGAAACCAGGACUAAUGACUCGUUGUGGGAAAGGGUAUGCUUCUAUCGUUCCAGAUGGAUCUACCGGCAACAUAUGGGAUCCUCUGUGGCCCAUCCGACCCUGGAAGGAUGAGAACAGUACAACCUAAACCUGAGGAAGAAGAAUUAAAACGGCGCCUUGCAGGCCUAAAUGUGAAGACCCAAUGACGCUAUCGUCCCUAUCACAAGAAAACUAGUCAGACGCUGCCAACAUGGGGUCAGAUUAAGACGUUGUCAGACAAGGGAGAAGUUCUGAUCAGUACUGAAGGCCCAGAACACUCGCACAUCUGUUUUUGGCCAUGGUUGUGCUGCUCACCUGUACUUCCAUGGAUACCACUGUCUCCACUACAAAAUAGCCAAGAUGUCCCUUCCACAAAGGAAUUUUGUGCUUGCUCUACUACACUUAAAAAAACAAAAAAGGGGGAGCUGUCGAAGGCACUGGCCACGUGAUUCCUUCUGAGGAUUUGUGUGCUGUGUGAGGUUGUGUAUGCUGGUGUACACAGCCUUAGGGGGAAAGAGAAAACUCCUUGAAAGUCUGGGCAACAGUCCAGAUGCCUGGCCACACCUCAGGGGAAGACAUGCAGAAUGGGCUCUACAUACUCCUCUGAAUGGUCUUAUAACACUCCCUCAUACUCCUUUUAUGUAUGUAAGAAAAUCACCUGCACUUUGCUUAUCUCCUGUAACCUUUGAUCUCGUAAAACUGUUUCAUGUUUGCUGACUAAGAUUAACUCUCGGUGUGUAUGUGCUAUAUAUAAGCAUAAGUGCUAUUAAUAAACUUUGUCUAUACCUGCAA